GGGAUUGCCUCAGUAACGGCGAGUGAAGCGGCAACAGCUCAAAUUUGAAAUCUGGCCCCUCUCGGGGUCCGAGUUGUAAUUUGUAGAGAGUGUUUCGGGGGAGACCGCGGUCUAAGUCCAUUGGAACAUGGCGUCAUAGAGGGUGAGAAUCCCGUCUGUGACCGCGGAUCGAGCCCAUGUGAAGCCUCUUCGACGAGUCGAGUUGUUUGGGAAUGCAGCUCAAAAUGGGUGGUAAAUUUCAUCUAAAGCUAAAUAUUGGCUGGAGACCGAUAGCGCACAAGUAGAGUGAUCGAAAGAUGAAAAGCACUUUGGAAAGAGAGUUAAACAGUACGUGAAAUUGUUGAAAGGGAAGCGCUUGCGACCAGACCUGCCCGUGGGCGAUCAGCCGCUGUUCUCAGCGGUGCACUCGUUCCACGAUCAGGCCAGCAUCGGUUUCGGCGGUCGGAUAAAGGCCUUGGGAAUGUAGCUUCCUUUCGGGGGAGUCUUAUAGCCCUUGGUGCAAUGCGGCCAGCCGGGACCGAGGACCGCGCUUCGGCUAGGAUGCUGGCGUAAUGGUCGUAAGCGACCCGUCUUGAAACACGGACCAAGGAGUCUAACAUCUAUGCGAGUGUUUGGGUGUCAAACCCAUGCGCGGAAUGAAAGUGAACGGAGGUGAGAACCCUUAAGGGCGCAUCAUCGACCGAUCCAGAUGUCUUCGGAUGGAUUUGAGUAUGAGCAUAGCUGUUGGGACCCGAAAGGUACGUUGAAACUCCCCGUACCCCCUAGCAUCUAUAGAAUUUUAAGCUAACUUGUUUUCACAGAUGGUGAACUAUGCCUGAAUAGGGUGAAGCCAGAGGAAACUCUGGUGGAGGCUCGCAGCGGUUCUGACGUGCAAAUCGAUCGUCAAAUUUGGGUAUAGGUAAGUUCGAUGCGGUAGACCCCAGACCGUGAAAACAUCUUGACUAACGUGGCUUUUAGGGGCGAAAGACUAAUC
rnacentral:rRNA from 2 species